UAUUAAAUUGGCGUAAAAGUAAUUGUGGUUUUUGCCAUUACAUUUUAAAAACCUUCAAUUACUUUUGCACCAGCCUAAUAUUUGUUG
rnacentral:miRNA from 1 species